UCCCACCUACAGAUGGCGGCUCCCCACAAACACAACAGCACUUUCAUCAUGGAGUGUAUCGAAUAAAUUUCCACAAUGGCUGACACACGCCCACCUGAUGGAAAAACUGGAAGCAUGUAGCACAGAUCACUCAGAAGACUUUUAAAGACACCUAUCUGUGUUUCAUCAGUAUAAAAUGUCAAGUUUCCUCAAGCAGCACAUCACCUCUAUGGAUUGGAUGGAAUAAUAGUCUGAAGCUACAAAUCGGACUCUGCGCCCAUCAUACAUUGUGAUUUUCUCCGACUGCCCAAAAUCUGCAGGCUGGCUCUGACUUUCGGCAACUGUCUACGACUCCACCAGACUGCAAAUCGGGACAAAAAUCUUGAAAGAAUUAAUUCCACUUGGCGCUCCACGACGUGACAGUGUAGAUGCCACGCCACAUCCUGUGUCAGGUAGUCUACGUUUUGAACCUUCUGAGAAGACUCCAAAACUCUUGAGCUCACUGCCUAAAUGUAUCCUGCCCACUAAAAACCCUGAGCUGGAACAGAGGGACAAGUCCACUUCAGCUGCACUCAAAGCCUCCAAUAAUAGACCACAUCAGGAUAGUAUUCUGGAUUGCAAAGUUGUUAUGAGAAAACUACAACCAAAUAAUGGCAACAUUAACUCCAGGAAGGAUGGCUCUCUCAAUCCCACGAUUAAAAAGGACACUCUGCGGAGGACCAGUUCUUACAACAGAGACAGAGAAAUUUCUUUUGCUCUCAGUAAGGAGCUGAAUGAAAACUU